CCUACGGGGGGCAGCAGUGGGGAAUAUUGCACAAUGGGGGAAACCCUGAUGCAGCGACGCCGCGUGAGUGAAGAAGUAAUUCGGUAUGUAAAGCUCUAUCAGCAGGGAAGAAAAUGACGGUACCUGAGUAAGAAGCCCCGGCUAACUACGUGCCAGCAGCCGCGGUAAUACGUAGGGGGCAAGCGUUAUCCGGAUUGACUGGGUGUAAAGGGAGCGUAGACGGCAGUGCAAGUCUGGAGUGAAAGGCGGGGGCUCAACCCCCGGACUGCUCUGGAAACUGUACGGCUGGAGUGCAGGAGAGGUAAGUGGAAUUCCUUGUGUAGCGGUGAAAUGCGUAGAUAUUAGGAGGAACACCAGUGGCGAAGGCGGCUUACUGGACUGUAACUGACGUUGAGGCUCGAAAGCGUGGGGAGCAAACAGGAUUAGAUACCCGAGUAGUC
rnacentral:rRNA from 1 species